AGGAAUGGAGAUGUUCAACCAUUGAUACAAAGUUCACAAACUCGAUGCUGUUCCUCACUAACAGCUCGAUAAAUGUGGAGACUGAUGGAAGAUGGCCAAGCACAACGUUCACAGGCAAUGCUUGUUUCUGAAGCAGUGAUGGGGGACCCCAUGCACCCAGCACUGCUCAAGGAUCAUCAUCCCUCCUGGAAAGACCUCUUCAAAAAUGUCCAGCUGCAACUGUUGACUGCAACACGGUGUGAGCCAGCCUGGGAGAGCCCUCAGCUUUGGAGAGUGUGCACUGGAGUUUACCAAACAAACCUGGUGGGCUUUACCUGGGAGAGGCAUAACUGACGAAAGGAGACUGUGGCCUUUUAGGCUAAAUGCAUUCAGAGUCUCCUUGGUAUUUGUACUAGGGCUUUUUCCAGUAGUGGAGAGUAAAACAAUGAUGCUUUUGGAGGGCCUAGUAAUAUUUUUCCAGCUUUGUCUGGCAGACAUGACCAGGAUAUAAGUCUCCUUUAAUGUAAGAGAGACCCCAGGCUUUGGUGAUUGGAGUAAUCAUCUUGGAAUGCAUGGGGGUGUCACCUGGAAAUGUUUGUUAGCUUGAUCACAGACACAUUUUAGCUCCAGUUGUCUCUACAAGACUGGCAAAGUAAAGCAGGCUGUAGUUUCCCACACAUCUCCAAAGUGAAUUUGUGACAAGGUUCAUUAAUGAUGUUUUCACACAGUAAACAGCACAGUACCCAGUUGCUGGGUGGCCUUUCUGGAUGUAUGUGUAAAACAUUAAGCAACGAAGACAAUACUUACAGGAAGAAAUGAAACCUGUUCUGGGCAGUGUCUGAUACCAAGCCAGAGAGGAAGCAGAAGACCUUUGUUUAGCUUUGUAACACUGCUGGCUUCACAGUAAGUAAUAAAGUGGAGUUAAAUAUAUUGCACUGUGACCCAUACAGCACUUUUUUAGAACUAAUAGUUUCCAUGUGACUGCUCAGACAACAGGUGUUGAUCUAGCCUGACUUUGGCUAAGAGGUGCAAGAGGCCAGGAGGGCAAGACAGGGCAGGAAUUCCCUAUGGCUCUCUGGUCUUAGUGUGGACGUUGUCCUGACUUCCACGUGCAGGAAAUCAUUUGGAAAAAAAAGAUCAAAACUGUGUCCUGAGUCUUUGUUUUGUUGUAAAAAGCCUCAUGGCAGUGAAUACUGAGACUGUCCAGAGAUGAUGUUCCAGCUAACCGUGUCAGCAUUUGAAUCUCCAGUUAUGUUUACUCUCACUCUAUUGCACAGAUUUCUGGAGGAACAUUGCACUGCCCAGGGCAGGUGGAGCAAAGGAAGAAGCUGACAAAGAGACAGUGUAAUGGAAAUAGGUGGAUCCAAGGAAGUCCAGACCAGCAGGACUAACUAAAUACUCAUGCCACAAAGCCCAAAGGAGAUCAGGAGGACCUGCUGGACACCUGGUAAUGUGUCCAGACCCUGGGGCCACAGAAACAACAUUAUCUGGAGCAACUCAUUCAAACAGCAGCUGUAGCUACACUGUUGUGACCAAAAGGAACAAGGAUAUAUGGACAAGUCUUACCCAGCUAGCUGCUUGCAGCAAACCCCAUCACCACACCAGGCUCAGCAACAAGGCAGAAUCCCAGGUUUGUUCAUCUCUAGAUUCUGCUGCGGGUCCUGAACAAGAGGUACACCCACCCCAGCAGGUGCAAGACCAAGCCAUUUAAAACUAGUUUGAUGAUAUUGGUGCAAACUUCUCUGACUUGCAAACACACCAGGCACAGGCAGUGCUGUAGCAGGUGGCAAUAAGAGACCUAGUGAAGACUGAAAAGGAGAAGC